GAUGAACGCUGGCGGCGUGCCUAAUACAUGCAAGUCGAGCGAACAGACGAGGAGCUUGCUCCUCUGACGUUAGCGGCGGACGGGUGAGUAACACGUGGAUAACCUAUCUAUAAGACUGGGAUAACUUCGGGAAACCGGAGCUAAUACCGGAUAAUAUAUUGAACCGCAUGGUUCAAUAGUGAAAGACGGUUUUGCUGUCACUUAUAGAUGGAUCCGCGCCGCAUUAGCUAGUUGGUAAGGUAACGGCUUACCAAGGCAACGAUGCGUAGCCGACCUGAGAGGGUGAGCGGCCACACUGGAACUGAGACACGGUCCAGACUCCUACGGGAGGCAGCAGUGGGGAAUCUUCCGCAAUGGGCGAAAGCCUGACGGAGCAACGCCGCGUGGGUGAUGAAGGUCUUCGGAUCGUAAGACUCUGUUAUUAGGGAAGAACAAAUGUGUAAGUAACUAUGCACGUCUUGACGGUACCUAAUCAGAAAGCCACGGCUAACUACGUG
rnacentral:rRNA from 1 species